rnacentral:tRNA from 1 species
GCCUCGGUAGUCUAACUGGUAAGGACUCUCGUAUGGAAUGUAAGAAAUCCGGGUUCGACUCCCGGCCGAGGUA